rnacentral:tRNA from 1 species
AAAAACAUUAGAUUGUGAGUCUNACAAUAAAAGCUCAAACCUUUUUGCUUACC